rnacentral:rRNA from 1 species
AGCUCCAAUAGCGUAUAUUAAAGUUGUUGCAGUUAAAAAGCUCGUAGUUGGAUCUCGGGUACUAGCAUGUGGUACGCUUCAUUGCUGUUACUACAUGUCUGGUCCUAAUCAAUCGGUUGGCCGUUGAUGCCCUUUAUUGGGUGUUUUCGGUAGCCGGUACGUUUACUUUGAGAAAAUUAGAGUGCUUAAAGCAGGCCAUACGCCUGAAUAAUGUUGCAUGGAAUAAUAGAAUAGGACCUCGGUUCUAUUUUGUUGGUUUUGUAGAGCAUUGAGGUAAUGAUUAAUAGGGACAGACGGGGGCAUUCGUAUUGCGGUGUUAGAGGUGAAAUUCUUGGAUCGCCGCAAGACGAACAACUGCGAAAGCAUUUGCCAAGAAUGUUUUCAUUAAUCAAGAACGAAA